UGUGUACACAUUAAAUUGGAGGAAAUUUGUUUAAGGAACCAUUAUGAAUUACUGGCUGUUUUUCUUUUUCCUCAUAGCCAUGCCAAAAUGGUCCCUUGCUGAGGUUCAACUUGUGUCAUCGGGGCCUGAAACUGUAAUACCAGGGCAAAAUCUCAAUUUGGUCUGUAAAGUUACUGGUGUCUCCAUCACUAGUGGUAGCUAUGUUUGGAACUGGGUCCGUCAGCCUCCAGGGAAAGGAUUAGAAUGGAUUGCUAGAAUCUACCCCAAUGAUGGCAGAAAAUGGUACUCACCUUCUCUUCAAAGCCGCACCACCAUUGCUUCAGACAACUCCAAGAAUGAGUAUUCCCUUCAGUUGAACUCCAUGUCAGCUUCUGACACUGCCGUGUAUUAUUGUGCCAGAGAUACACACUGA